GGGAAACAAUCGUUAGGAGAGAGAGAGAGAGAGAGAGAGAGAGAGAGAGUAGAAGCAUUUUAGUCAAGCCUAUCCUGCACGGGUUUGCAUGUUUGCUGCGGUGACACGGUGCAGCAAGACAGGUGGCGCUUGGCAAGGUGAGUGUUUUGGCCGGCGCUGGUCAGUCUUGCCCCACGCACUCUGGUGAUAAGUGUUUCCGUAUUCCCGGCAGCUUCUCCCUGUACCAAGCACCGCCACGCAGCACCAGAGAGCCAUGAGUACGUAAGUGAGCUGGCUGGAGUUGUGAAGCGAGUGUGGCAGCAAGCCCUAUGCUGCCGACAGUGAUGUGUUGGGAGGCCACAGCAAAGUGUGCGUGGAAGAUUCCAGUGGAGGCAGCAGUCUGUGUGGCGGGGCCUUGGGGGGUAAAGUCUUGGCCUGGCCACCCUGCCUGUGACCUGUGGCCUCUUGUUGCUUCACCAUGUUAAGAGGGUGGUGCUGUGAAGCUGGUGGCACAGGAGCUGACCAGUGCUGCAGGAAGACAGCACACAGCUUCAGUAUCUUCCAUGAUAGUGUUUAAAUAUACUGUGUUGGUUUGUUUAUUAGCAGUCAGAUUAAUUUGCUAUGCUUAGUCUUCAUUUAUUCUUUAUUUAGUGUUGGCAUAUAUAUAAUUGUUUAAUCUUUUAUUUAGAUUAAUUUUUCCCUGUGUGUUUAUUGUGUUGGCAAAUGUCUUCUCCUUUACAAGCUUACUCCUUGUUGUAGGUCAGUUCAAAGUGGAGCAUUUUGACUCCUAAUACUUGACUCACCGUACUCAUCAUCAAGCUGUGUCCUGUACUUCGUGUGUAAGCUUCCAUAUCUUUGAGUCGUGCAUCUAAUACACUCUUCACUGUUCACCUGCACAUGUUGAGCCUCGCCACAUUCAUGCAGGACGGAACAAAACGAAGCCUGUCCAUUUUGUGUGUCCAUUCUUUAUUCUAGGCACUGUACAAGAUGCAGCGUUUGUAUAUGUAAUGCUGUGUGUGUGUAAGGGGGACACUUAUUGAUGAGGGGCUGUGGGGAGUCACUGUGGGGUUCAUAAACAUACUGUGGGGUACAUACUGUGGGGCUGUGGGCUGUCUGUGGUGAGGUGAGGAGAGAGAGAGAGAGAGAGAGAGAGAGAGAGAGAGAGAGAGAGAGAGAGAGAGAGAGAGAGAGAGAGAGAGAGAGAGAGAGAGAA